rnacentral:rRNA from 1 species
ACGUACACUCCUGCGGGAGGCAGCAGUGGGGAAUAUUGGACAAUGGGCGCAAGCCUGAUCCAGCCAUGCCGCGUGAGUGAUGAAGGCCCUAGGGUUGUAAAGCUCUUUCACCGGUGAAGAUAAUGACGGUAACCGGAGAAGAAGCCCCGGCUAACUUCGUGCCAGCAGCCGCGGUAAUACGAAGGGGGCUAGCGUUGUUCGGAUUUACUGGGCGUAAAGCGCACGUAGGCGGACUAUUAAGUCAGGGGUGAAAUCCCGGGGCUCAACCCCGGAACUGCCUUUGAUACUGGUAGUCUUGAGUUCGAGAGAGGUGAGGGGAAUUCCGAGUGUAGAGGUGAAAUUCGUAGAUAUUCGGAGGAACACCAGUGGCGAAGGCGGCUCACUGGCUCGAUACUGACGCUGAGGUGCGAAAGCGUGGGGAGCAAACAGGAUUAGAUACCCGUGUAGUCCCAU